GACAGAGGGGGCAAGCGUUGCUCGGAAUUACUGGGCGUAAAGGGCGCGUAGGCGGGAUGGCAAGUCGGUCGUGAAAUCCCUCGGCUCAACCGAGGAACGUCGAUCGAUACUGCUGUUCUUGAGGAUUGCAGAGGAGACUGGAAUUCCCGGUGUAGCGGUGAAAUGUGUAGAGAUCGGGAGGAACACCUGAGGCGAAGGCGGGCUACUGGGCCGAUACUGACGCUGAUGCGCGAAAGCCAGGGGAGCGAACGGG
rnacentral:rRNA from 1 species